rnacentral:rRNA from 1 species
UACGUAGGCAGCAAGCGUUGUUCGGAAUUACUGGGCGUAAAGCGUGUGUAGGCGGUGCUCUAAGUCUGUUGUGAAAUCUCCCGGCUCAACUGGGAGGGUGCGCCGGAUACUGAGGGGCUAGAGUGCGGGAAGGGAAAGUGGAAUUCCGGGUGUAGCGGUGGAAUGCGUAGAGAUCCGGAAGAACACCGGUGGCGAAGGCGGUCUGCUGGGCAGUUGCUGACACUGAGGCGCGACAGCGUGGGGAGCAAACAGG